rnacentral:lncRNA from 1 species
GAAAAAGCUGAUUUGUGUGCCUGAUUUAGAAGCUUAGGCAUCUUAACUGGUUAAGAGAGGAAGAGAGGGGGAAAGAGAGACAUGCUCCCAACUUUGAUACUCCAUUUUUUCCUUUGGGAGAGCUGCUUUGUCACCACAGGUGUAUGUAAAUACGUGCUAUGAAGGCAAUAAGAAAAAAAGACCAAGAGCUACUGAAAAACAACAACAAGAACAACAACAACAAACAACAACAGAAAAUUCAGUCUGAAUUUCAGUUCUACCUGUCAGAGGGCACCAAGCUGUUCCUUACAGGAGCAAUGGUGAUGGUGUAGCAUUUCCUGAAAAGAAGAGAGUUGACUGUCAAUGCAAAGGAGGAAGUUUUGUUUUUGGCAAUGAAGAUAGAUGAAUCAGAACAAGGGAGGGAAGGAGAAGAAUAAAGGCAGAGGAGAGUGUCUGGAUCUGAAACGA